CACAUGUUAACUGCGUGUGCAUUGAUAGUACCAGAAAAGGAAGAGACGGCUAACUCUGUGCCAGCAGCCGCGGUAAUACAGAGGUCUCAAGCGUUGUUCGGAUUCAUUGGGCGUAAAGGGUGCGUAGGUGGCGCCGUAAGUCAGGUGUGAAAUUUCGGAGCUCAACUCCGAAACUGCAUUUGAUACUGCGGUGCUUGAGGACUGGAGAGGAGACUGGAAUUCACGGUGUAGCAGUGAAAUGCGUAGAUAUCGUGAGGAAGACCAGUGGCGAAGGCGGGUCUCUGGACAGUUCCUGACACUGAGGCACGAAGGCCAGGGGAGCAAACGGGAUUAGAUACCCCGGUAGUCCUGGCAGUAAACGGUGCACGUUUGGUGUGGGAGGAUUCGACCCCUUCUGCGCCGGAGCUAACGCGUUAAACGUGCCGCCUGGGGAGUACGGUCGCAAGAUUAAAACUCAAAGAAAUUGACGGGGGCCCGCACAAGCGGUGGAGUAUGUGGCUUAAUUCGAUGCAACGCGAAGAACCUUACCUGGCCUUGACAUGCAUCUCUAAGUUGGUGAAAGCCAGCGAGUCCCGAAAGGGACAAUUUGCACAGGUGCUGCAUGGCUGUCGUCAGCUCGUGUCGUGAGAUGUUGGGUUAAGUCCCGCAACGAGUGCAACCCCUGUGAACUGUUGCCACCCUCUUUAUUGGAGCACUCUGUUCAGACUGCCCUGUGAAACGGGGAGGAAGGUGGGGACGACGUCAAGUCAGUAUGGCCCUUACGGCCAGGGCUGCACACGUACUACAAUGCUCAGUACAGAACGAUCCGAGACCGCGAGGUGGAGGAAAUCCCUUAAAGCCGUUCUCAGUUCGGAUUGGAGUCUGAAACCCGACUCCAUGAAGUUGGAAUCGCUAGUAAUCGCGCAUCAGCCGUGCCGCGGUGAAUACGUUCCCGGG
rnacentral:rRNA from 1 species